rnacentral:rRNA from 1 species
AGUAAAUAGAUACCCGGGUAGUCCACGCCGUAAACGAUGUCGACUUGGAGGUUGUGCCCUUGAGGCGUGGCUUCCGGAGCUAAACGCGUUAAAGUCGACCGCCUGGGGAGUACGGCCGCAAGGUUAAAACUCAAAUGAAUUGACGGGGGCCCGCACAAGCGGUGGAGCAUGUGGUUUAAUUCGAUGCAACGCGAAGAACCUUACCUACUCUUGACAUCCAGAGAACUCAGCAGAGAUGCUUUGGUGCCUUCGGGAACUCUGAGACAGGUGCUGCAUGGCUGUCGUCAGCUCGUGUUGUGAAAUGUUGGGUUAAGUCCCGCAACGAGCGCAACCCUUAUCCUUUGUUGCCAGCGGUUAGGCCGGGAACUCAAAGGAGACUGCCAGUGAUAAACUGGAGGAAGGUGGGGAUGACGUCAAGUCAUCAUGGCCCUUACGAGUAGGCUACACACGUGCUACAAUGGCGCAUACAAAGAGAAGCGACCUCGCGAGAGCAAGCGGACCUCAUAAAGUGCGUCGUAGUCCGG